UCCCUCUUAGGGUCGCAUCUGGAGAGUUUUUAGUACUCUAUCAGUCCCGAAUAUGGGAGGGAGAGUCAAGCAGAGGCCUAACCAUUCCAUUCCUAGCUUGGGCAGUGGCUAGCGAGUACAAGCAAUCUGCUACAAGU